GAUGUAUCAGUGGACGAAAGAUACAUACGAUCUUACAUCUUCAAAAUGGUAUGUAAGCUCGUUUUAGUAUCUUUCGUCUCUGAUCACAUU
rnacentral:pre_miRNA from 15 species